AAGACCUUGUGCUUUUGGAGCGGCCGAUGUCUGAUUAGCUAGUUGGUGGGGUAAAGGCCUACCAAGGCGUCGAUCAGUAGCUGGUCUGAGAGGACGGCCAGCCGCACUGGGACUGAGACACGGCCCAGACUCCUACGGGAGGCAGCAGUGGGGAAUUUUGGACAAUGGGCGCAAGCCUGAUCCAGCCAUGCCGCGUGAGUGAAGAAGGCCUUCGGGUUGUAAAGCUCUUUCAGCCGGGAAGAAAAGGUUGCGAUUAAUAAUCGCAAUAUAUGACGGUACCGGAAGAAGAAGCACCGGCUAACUACGUGCCAGCAGCCGCGGUAAUACGUAGGGUGCGAGCGUUAAUCGGAAUUACUGGGCGUAAAGGGUGCGCAGGCGGUUUUGUAAGUCAGAUGUGAAAUCCCCGGGCUUAACCUGGGAACU
rnacentral:rRNA from 1 species